rnacentral:rRNA from 1 species
UACGUAGGGGGCAAGCGUUGUCCGGAAUCAUUGGGCGUAAAGAGCGUGUAGGCGGCCCGGUAAGUCCGCUGUGAAAGUCCAGGGCUCAACCCUGGGAUGCCGGUGGAUACUGUCGGGCUCGAGUCCGGAAGAGGAGUGUGGAAUUCCGGGUGUAGCGGUGGAAUGCGUAGAGAUCCGGAAGAACACCGGUGGCGAAGGCGGCCUGCUGGGCAGUAGCUGACACUGAGGCGCGACAGCGUGGGGAGCAAACAGG